rnacentral:rRNA from 1 species
UCAAGUGAAUAAGUGCAUCAGGUGGAUGCCUUGGCGAUGAUAGGCGACGAAGGACGUGUAAGCCUGCGAAAAGCGUGGGGGAGCUGGCAAUAAAGCUAUGAUCCCACGGUGUCCGAAUGGGGAAACCCGCCUCUUAGGAGGUAUCCUUAUCCGAAUACAUAGGAUAAGCGAAGCGAACCCGGAGAACUGAACCAUCUAAGUACCCGGAGGAAAAGAAAUCAACCGAGAUUCCGCAAGUAGUGGCGAGCGAACGCGGAGGAGCCUGUACGUAAUAACUGUCGAGAUAGAAGAACAAGCUGGGAAGCUUGACCAUAGUGGGUGAUAGUCCCGUAUUCGAAAUUUCAAUAGUGGUACUAAGCGUACGAAAAGUAGGGCGGGACACGUGAAAUCCUGUCUGAAUAUGGGGGGACCAUCCUCCAAGGCUAAAUACUCAUCAUCGACCGAUAGUGAACCAGUACCGUGAGGGAAAGGCGAAAAGAACCCCGGGAGGGGAGUGAAAUAGAACCUGAAACCUGAUGCAUACAAACAGUGGGAGCAUCCUUGUGGUGUGACUGCGUACCUUUUGUAUAAUGGGUCAACGACUUACAUUCAGUAGCGAGCUUAACCGAAUAGGGGAGGCGUAGGGAAACCGAGUCUUAAUAGGGCGAACAGUUGCUGGGUGUAGACCCGAAACCGAGUGAUCUAUCCAUGGCCAGGUUGAAGGUGCCGUAACAGGUACUGGAGGACCGAACCCACGCAUGUUGCAAAAUGCGGGGAUGAGCUGUGGAUAGGGGUGAAAGGCUAAACAAACUCGGAGAUAGCUGGUUCUCCCCGAAAACUAUUUAGGUAGUGCCUCGAGCAAGACACUGAUGGGGGUAAAGCACUGUUAUGGCUAGGGGGUUAUUGCAACUUACCAACCCAUGGCAAACUAAGAAUACCAUCAAGUGGUUCCUCGGGAGACAGACAGCGGGUGCUAACGUCCGUUGUCAAGAGGGAAACAACCCAGACCGCCAGCUAAGGUCCCAAAUGAUAGAUUAAGUGGUAAACGAAGUGGGAAGGCCCAGACAGCCAGGAUGUUGGCUUAGAAGCAGCCAUCAUUUAAAGAAAGCGUAAUAGCUCACUGGUCGAGUCGUCCUGCGCGGAAGAUGUAACGGGGCUCAAAUCUAUAACCGAAGCUGCGGAUGCCAGUUUACUGGCAUGGUAGGGGAGCGUUCUGUAGGCCGAUGAAGGUGCAUUGUAAAGUGUGCUGGAGGUAUCAGAAGUGCGAAUGUUGACAUGAGUAGCGAUAAAGCGGGUGAAAAGCCCGCUCGCCGAAAGCCCAAGGUUUCCUACGCAACGUUCAUCGGCGUAGGGUGAGUCGGCCCCUAAGGCGAGGCAGAAAUGCGUAGUCGAUGGGAAACAGGUUAAUAUUCCUGUACUUGAUUCAAAUGCGAUGUGGGGACGGAGAAGGUUAGGUUAGCAAGCUGUUGGAAUAGCUUGUUUAAGCCGGUAGGUGGAAGACUUAGGCAAAUCCGGGUCUUCUUAACACCGAGAAGUGAUGACGAGUGUCUACGGACAUGAAGUAACCGAUACCACGCUUCCAGGAAAAGCCACUAAGCUUCAGUUUGAAUCGAACCGUACCGCAAACCGACACAGGUGGGCAGGAUGAGAAUUCUAAGGCGCUUGAGAGAACUCAGGAGAAGGAACUCGGCAAAUUGAUACCGUAACUUCGGGAGAAGGUAUGCCCUCUAAGGUUAAGGACUUGCUCCGUAAGCCCUGGAGGGUCGCAGAGAAUAGGUGGCUGCGACUGUUUAUUAAAAACACAGCACUCUGCUAACACGAAAGUGGACGUAUAGGGUGUGACGCCUGCCCGGUGCUGGAAGGUUAAUUGAAGAUGUGCAAGCAUCGGAUCGAAGCCCCAGUAAACGGCGGCCGUAACUAUAACGGUCCUAAGGUAGCGAAAUUCCUUGUCGGGU